ensembl:lncRNA
UUUUUUUUUUUUAAAGCGUCGGACGUUGGCGAAGCGACGGGGCAGGACAGUCGGUUUUCUUGAGCCAAAACUACAGAUGAUUCUUAUUUUUGUAAUCAGUUGCUGGCUUCUUAAUCUGGACGAAGGUUUCUCGGGGAGGCGGGGAGGGAAGGGGGAGAAGGAAGCCGGAGGACUGCGCCGGGAGGAAGAGGAGGAGGAGGAGGAAGAGGAGGAGGAGGAGGAGGAGGAGGAGAAGAGCAAUCUCAGUUUCAGCUGGAUCUGUCACUGAUCACGUCCCGGCUCGGGGACAUGGCGGGGGGGGGGUGUCAACGCUGGACUUCUGUGCGAAAGGGCCGUUUUUAUUCACGCUUCAACAAAAAAACUUCUCCCCCCUCCGCCCCAGCCCGCUUGUGCGUACAAUCAGCUUUUUCUAGCAAUCGUGAGUUUGUCGGUUUUAAAGAAAAACAGAGUAUUUUGACCCACCAUUUUUUCCAUGUUUUAUGCUGGUUUAAAGCCUCCUAGCAAAAACUGAGGCGACAACGUGUAUAUUACAACCGGGGGAAAAAAAAAAAGACAAAAAAAGAACAGUUCGGGGAAAAAAAAAAACUGCAAUAAUUUUUAGGGGGAAGGAUGGGGGGAGGGGUCUGUCAAUUACUGUAGAUAAAAUUUUCUGAUUAAAUAUUAAAUAAAAUUGAGCAGUCGGUUCUUUCUGCUUUGAUUGUGUUUAACAGCUGAGGUAGCUUAAACUAUUUAAAAUAAUAAUAAUAAAAUAAUAAUAAUAAUUGAAUUCUCUGUUGGGAGACAGCUUAUUUUUUUCCCCUCAAGCCUGUCACUGUAAAUAGCUCUGAUCUCUGUAUAAAUUUGUUUUCUUCUCUUUUUAGUUGGGAUCGCUUUUAAUAUUCACUGCUGACUUUUACUGGGGGGGGAGGUGGGGUUAUGGGUUUUUUUCCCCUCUCUCUCUUCAAAUCGCGCUGGUUUGUGGAAAAUGUGUAGCUUUGUUGAUUGACCUUUGCAAGAGUUAAAAAAAAAAAACAGACAAAAAAGAAUCAGAGUCGCCAGCUGGCGUUUGGUUGUUUCUGUGCCGACGGUGUGGCGCCGGGAUGGAGCCGGCGGCGCUCCGCGAUGCUCUGCCGGGUCCCUUCGCCGGCGUCCGGCUUCACCUCGGGUUCGAGGAGGCGGAAAUGAGAGAGACAGGGGGGUUUUGUGCCGGCGGUGGGGCGGCGGGUCGGGCCGGCAUCGCCCACGUUCCCCCACGUGCUUCCCCGCCGCGGUUUUCCCGGGAACGGAUCGGGGAGGGGAGGCGGUGAGGGAGACCGGCGCCGAGCCCGAUCGUCCCGCCGGGGGGGAACUGGAGCGGCCGGGUGGGCGCGCAGAUGGAAUAAGGCGACGGAGGCGGCGGGAGGCAGGGGAAGGUUUAAUGGCAGCGGGGUCAGCGGAGGAGACGCAGCGCGUGGUCCAGGCCCUGGUGCCGCAGCGUCUCCGCCAGCGCCCGCAGGGCGGCCUCGUCCGCGGCCUGGGGGAGAGGGAGGGAGGGAGAGAGGGAGAGAGGGGUGAGCGGGGAGGGGGGAGGAGAGCGCCCCC